ensembl:snoRNA SCARNA7 small Cajal body-specific RNA 7
UGGAAAUGAUGAAAUAAAGAUAAUCGGGUGUUGAAUGUUGUAUGAAUGGAAAUUUUUAAUAUGUAAGUUAAGUAAUGUAAGUUUAAUAUUUUAUAGAUAAUUAAUAGAAAGCGUGUGUGCGUGUGUGUGUGUGUGUGUGCGCUCGUGGAGGCUAUGGAAAGGGGGCACUGACUGGUGAUGCUGAUAUUGGAGUGCAUCUGAGGCUGUUGUAGAAACAUAUGGGUUGUUGAUUACAACAUUGCUGAUGAUUAUGACCCAAAAACAGCUCACCUAAGUAGCCUAACACCCUAAAAUCUUUAACAGGUUCAUUAAAUGUGUUCCUGUGAUCUGAUCCAA